rnacentral:misc_RNA from 1 species
GUGAAUCAUCAAAUUUUUGAACGCAAAUUGCACUCUCCGGUUUUCCGGGGGGGUAUUCCUUUUUGGGGGUCGGCCUAAAUAAAAUCGGCUUAGUAGUUUGCUGUGUUUUUCACGGUAACGUUGGUCGGAAUUUGGGUCAUCUUAAACCGAAAUGUUUUUAAGCAACUUAAAAUUUUCUUACGAUCUCGCGAUCGUU